UGCCUACGGGAGGCAGCAGUCGGGAAUAUUGCGCAAUGGAGGAAACUCUGACGCAGUGACGCCGCGUAUAGGAAGAAGGUUUUCGGAUUGUAAACUAUUGUCGUUAGGGAAGAUACAAGACAGUACCUAAGGAGGAAGCCCCGGCUAACUAUGUGCCAGCAGCCGCGGUAAUACAUAGGGGGCAAGCGUUAUCCGGAUUUAUUGGGUGUAAAGGGUGCGUAGACGGAGAAACAAGUUGGUUGUGAAAUCCCUCGGCUCAACUGAGGAACUGCAACCAAAACUAUUUCCCUUGAGUGUCGGAGAGG
rnacentral:rRNA from 1 species